rnacentral:rRNA from 1 species
UACGUAGGGCGCAAGCGUUGUCCGGAAUUAUUGGGCGUAAAGAGCUCGUAGGUGGCUUGUUGCGUCUGCCGUGAAAGCCCGUGGCUUAACUGCGGGUCUGCGGUGGAUACGGGCAGGCUAGAGGCUGGUAGGGGCAAGCGGAAUUCCUGGUGUAGCGGUGAAAUGCGCAGAUAUCAGGAGGAACACCGGUGGCGAAGGCGGCAUCCUGGACCGACACUGACGCUGAGGAGCGAAAGCCAGGGGAGCAAACGGG